UGGGAGAAGGGAAGAUAAUGCUUCCCCAACCCAGCCUUUAUUAUGAGUGAAAGAGUACUUUGCCCUUGGAAGCCACUGGAAAAAAAACCUACCUCAGUCAGGUGGAUGUUAUGACACAACCAGUUCUAUGCCAUUGGAAAGAGGCUACCAACCUAUGUGGAAGGAUAUCAAAACUGGAGAGAUAAGAAGAAAAAGAGAAGGGAAAUGAAGAGAACAAAGGAAUAUGCCCUGUUAUUGUAGAGAAUGGACCAGUAGCAGACAACACAUCCAACUGAGAGCAGAGAAAGACAUAUUGAAGAUUAACACAGACACAGAUGACUACAGAAAAAGCUACCUAAAGGAGGAACCAUCUUCAAGGAGUAGUACUCCUUUUCCUGGGAAAGAAGUACCAGAUAUGGAAUAAAGGCACAAACUCUUG